rnacentral:misc_RNA from 1 species
GAUGAAGAACGUAGCGAAAUGCGAUAAGUAAUGUGAAUUGCAGGAUUCAGUGAAUCAUCGAAUCUUUGAACGCACAUUGCGCCCGCCAGUAUUCUGGCGGGCAUGCCUGUUCGAGCGUCAUUACAACCCUCAGGCCCCCGGGCCUGGCGUUGGGGAUCGGCGGAGCCCCCCGUGGGCACACGCCGUCCCCCAAAUGCAGUGGCGGUCCCGCCGCAGCUUCCAUCGCGUAGUAGCUAACACCUCGCGACUGGAGAGCGGCGCGGCCACGCCGUAAAACACCCAACUUCUGAAUGUUGACCUCGAAUCAGGUAGGAAUACCCGCUGAACUUAAGCAUAUCAAUAAGCGGAGGA